UUCCACUCUUCUCCAUCUCAAAUACGAUUUUGAAGCCCUACAUACCCAUGGAUGAAAUCAAAGAAUGGCGUCUUUCACAACCAUUCUUCAGCCGCGCCAGUGAGUUUUGCAGCCACAACGAACUGGUUUCGGCGACAUGUGUUUAGUUGGUGAAAAAGUGAGGAUGCUACAAAGAAGACUCUGAUUAGUGACCAAGUCUUUCAAAUUUGAGAGUUGCUUGUUGUGACAGGAAAACAAAAUUGAAAGUUGGGGAAGGAGGCUUUGAAUUUGCAGAAAAAGGUUAGUCUAUAGUUUAGUGUUAAAAAGAAGUUUCAAAGAUUAUAUUUGGCAAUUGCAUUCUUUCCAUUUACAUGAAUUGUGUUAUAGCCAUGUCAACGAGAACGUUCAAGUAAUUACGAGCACCAAACUGCUACUUCAAUACUUUCAAACAUAAUAAUGAUUUAUUCUUUGGGUGUCACGAGAUGGCUGCCUUUAAUCUUUUUCCUUAGCUUAUGUGAUAUUGCAUGAAUGUUUUGAUUGCAUUUGCAUUGUUGGGGAAAACUAGGAGUGGAGGAUGGUGUACCAAAUGAAAUGUAGGUGACCAAAUCAUGAUUUUCCAAGCUUUAGAUCAGCAUGUCUUUUUUCUUAUCAUUGCUGCCCGUGAUUCAUACUUAUUAGUAAAGCAUUUGAAAUCUAAAGUUAUGUUGUUUGUGAAUUGUGAUAGAUAUAGAAAUUACAAAAAAGACUAACAACAUUUUUUUUGUAGUUAAAAAGUUUAGAUAUGAAACAAAAGGAAUGCCCUGCUAUAGACAGGAAGUAGGGAGAAACUAGAAUGUCAGUGAACAUUUUUUUUACAUUCUAUUUCAACAUCUAGCCAUGCAGUUUGAUGUUUUUUUUCCUUGUAUAUGUUGACAUACUUAUACAUUGGAAUGAUUGUUGUGUUACAUGAAUACAUGCUAUAUGUUAAAUGGAUUGAGUUCUUCUUUUGUGAAUGCCGCAUGAGGUCUUUACAAAACCAAAAAUCAAUUCAUACGGGAGAAUGAAUAUUGCAUAUCCUUUUGUUGUGUUUAUCUUUCGUUAUUAGUCACAUAAUUGUUUCAGGUUCAAUAUAAAUACGGAAGGUGUAUGAUUUCAUUUAAUUUGACUUCCUAUGCCUAAUUGUAAUUUAUUGUUGUUUUUAUCUUCCUCAUUCCAUUUUUAGUCAGCCACAUCACUAUGUUAUGUUUAUCAUUUUCUUUAAAAGUAGGAACCAUGUUUGUUAUGUUUACAUUCCUGAUUCAAGGGGUGCUCUUGUCAAAAGGAAAUUUGCAACUCGUUUUAGUAAGCUUUCUUUUUUUUUGUUAAGGAUUUUUUUCCUAAACUUAUUAGUUAUUUUAUUUGUUGCUCUUUUAUUACGAUGGUUAGUUUACGUAAGUGAGAAUUGUUCACAUUGGAUUGAGAUGCAAUAAUACCUAUAUCUAAGUUUUUCUCAUUACGUUUUAUGAUGAGUGCUUGUACAAGCUUGAUUUCUUGAUACUUUAUCAAGUCUCUACUGCAGUACUGCAUUUACCUGUAUUUGUUUGCUUUUCAUGUAAUAAAAAUUAACUCAUCGUAUCCAAUGUCCUAUAUUUAUUCCUUUUUUGGGUAUGCUUACUUAUUUCCUGUCCCUAAUGGAUAUCUUCUUAAUUUAUAAUAUUCUAAAACAAUCUAGACAAUCAGAGGAAGAUUUAAAGUGAGAAAUGUAAAUAAUAUAUGGAAUCCUUAAUGUUGUUAUAUAAGGUCUAGAAUGUGAAUUUGAUGGUAUAUAAAUUUUACCUUUGUUGUUCCCCAUGGCUCACACAAGCAUGUUCUGUAGUUGUGCUUGUAUUAUUUUUAAUCAAUAUUUGGGAUCUAAUUGCAAGCAACAUGUACUGCUUUUCUGAUAUAGCUUUAUAUGGUUUCAAUACAUUGAUAUUCAGUAAAUUUAAAUUAUAUUAAUAUGCUUCCUUGUAAUUUUUAUUGUAAUAUCUUUGGUUCAAAAGAAAACUUAUUUACCAUAGCUAUCAAAAAAAUAAGAUAAUAAUACAGUAUCCGCCAAGGAGGAAGAAGUAAGUGAUUGAGUCAUAGUGUACACUAUAUAGUUCUUACAUUUUGUGAAUCAUAGUGUGAAUAGUUUCCUCUUUGGUAGAAAGGUUGGCGAAUUGAUAUCUAAUUUCUCCGGAUGGUACACCAUAUAGUUCUUGCAUUUUGUGAAUUCUCACUUAUUUUUCCGUGACAGAGCAUCAAGCAGUUUUUUGUUGCAGUAGAAAGAGAGGAAUGAAAGUUCGACACUCUUUGUGUACCCUUACAAUAGAGCAGGCUGUGACCUUCUGCAAUAAGAAAUGAAAGAUAAUUUCUUUUGUUAAAUCUGCAUUCCUAUGUUGAAUCUGUUAACUAAAGGGUAGUCAUAUGCAAUGUUUUUUCUUUAUGGUACACAAUAGUUAUGAGCCAAGAGAAUAAAUUAGGCAAGUAUUUUUAUGCUCGCCUUUUAUUUGUAUCAGAUUGAUUGGCCCUCUUGAAAAAUACAUGAGAAUAGCUUCACCAUUUUAUCCAUGCAUGGGAUAUGCCUCAAAAGGAAUUAGAUGCAUUAUGAAUGAAUUUCGGUCUGGACAAACCUAAGUUCUUAUCACAACAGAUGUUUGGGCUAGAGGACUGGAUGUUCAGCAGGUGACACAUUUUUCCUUGUCAAGGUCUUCGUUACAUUUGCCUGAGUCCCGGACACACCACUUAUUUUUCCAACAAUUGUUGGGGCGACUUCCAUUCGCGACGUUGUUGGUGAAGAUCCUAUUAAGUGGAACUACAAGGAUGCUUGGAUAUACUUUCAUACCUUUCAUUUAUUGAACUCCAAAACUUCAAAGAAAUAUUACUUAAACUAAACCUCCUUCUGUUGGUAAUUGCAGCUCAUGCACUACCCCUGAAGCAUAUCAACCGAUUCCUUAAUGUUUUGCCCCCGUUUGCCUUAUGGAUUGGAUGCUGUAGAUGUGUUUGGAUGGUAGGUUGUUACGGCUAUGUGAAAUACCUAUGGAAUAGAUGCAUAGACAUUUGGAGUUAUCUUUUGUGUGGUGAGAAUUGUUGCUAUGGAUUGAUGGAUUUCUCCACUUGCUUAUUACUAGGUUGGAUGUUUAAAAUGCUUGCGUUUUGCGGUACAUAAUAUCGAAGUGAAGAUGUUGCUAGGAUUUUUUGAUGGGUUACUUUAUUUUGUUGUUCAGUGGUGGACAUCGACUAGUAAAUAUUGUUAUGCUAAUAUCCUAUGUUGUGAUCCCCUAAUAGUGUUUAUUGUUUGCAAUUAUGGCCAAUCGUAAUAUUUAUAGCAUGGUUGUAUACAAAAUUUC